UACGAAGGGGGCUAGCGUUGUUCGGAAUCACUGGGCGUAAAGCGCACGCAGGCGGAUCGAGAAGUCGGUGGUUAAAGCCCGGGGCUCAACCUCGGAAUUGCCUUCGAUACUGUCGGUCUCGAGUCCGGGAGAGGUGAGUGGAAUUCCUAGUGUAGAGGUGAAAUUCGUAGAUAUUAGGAAGAACACCAGUGGCGAAGGCGGCUCACUGGCCCGGUACUGACGCUCAGGUGCGAAAGCGUGGGGAGCAAACAGG
rnacentral:rRNA from 1 species